AUUGAACGCUGGCGGCGUGCUUAACACAUGCAAGUCGAUCGGUAACAGGUGUAGCAAUACAUGCUGACGAGAGGCGGCCGGGUGAGGAAUAUUUGGGACUCUGCCCAUCAGUGGGGGACAACCCGGGGAAACUCGGGCUAAUACCGCAUACGCUCUACGGAGGAAAGCCGGGGACCGCAAGGCUUGGCACUGGUGGAUGAGCACAAAUCGGAUUAGCUAGUUGGCGGGGUAACGGCCCACCAAGGCGACGAUCCGUAGCUGGUCUGAGAGGACGAGCAGCCACACCGGAACUGAGACGCGGUCCGGACGCCUACGGGAGGCAGCAGUGGGGAAUAGUGGACAAUGGGGGAAACCCUGAUCCAGCGACGCCGCGUGGGUGAAGAAGGCCUGCGGGUUGUAAAGCCCUUUCGGUAGGGAAGAAAUCUCUUGUCUUAACACGGCAAGGGUUUGACUUAACCUACAUAAGAAGCACCGGCUAACUCUGUGCCAGCAGCCGCAGUAAAAC
rnacentral:rRNA from 1 species